GGCAGAGGAGCACCCAGACACCCUGUGAGUCAAGAAAAGAAACAUUCACAGAGGAAUCAAGAUAAAAAAUGUACAGGAACUAGACUUGACAGAAGAAGGUUCCUUUGUUCAGGUGUUUGUGGACCGACCAUUUCUUAUUGAUGGCAGGAAGUUUGACAUUGGAGUGUACACCAUAUUGACAUCUAUAAAUCCACUAAGAGUGUAUACUAUAGAGUCUGAGGCUUCAAUCAGGUUCUGUUCCCAGGAUUAUUAUCCUUUUGAUGCCCGUAACAUCAGCAAGUAUGUGGUGGGAGACGCCUUCACUCCAGUCUGGAAGAUUCCAUCCCUGAAAAAGCUGAAUAGAGAAUUAAAUUUCAGCUUUAAGGGAUCAUUUGAUGCUUAUUUG